rnacentral:rRNA from 1 species
UGGGGAAUAUUGCACAAUGGGGGAAACCCUGAUGCAGCGACGCCGCGUGAACGAAGAAGGUAUUCGUAUCGUAAAGUUCUGUCCUAUUGGAAGAUAAUGACAGUACCAUAGAAGAAAGCUCCGGCUAAAUACGUGCCAGCAGCCGCGGUAAUACGUAUGGAGCGAGCGUUGUCCGGAAUUAUUGGGCGUAAAGGGUACGCAGGCGGUUUAAUAAGUCGAAUGUUAAAGAUCGGGGCUCAACCCCGCAAAGCAUUGGAAACUGAUAAACUUGAGUAGUGGAGAGGAAAGUGGAAUUCCUAGUGUAGUGGUGAAAUACGUAGAUAUUAGGAGGAAUACCAGUAGCGAGGGCGACUUUCUGGACACAAACUGACGCUGAGGUACGAAAGCGUGGGGAGCAAACAGG